CCCUUGCCAAAACAACGUGUAAAAUUCCUCAUUCUAUACUCUCUUCAUAUUUCCUUCUGGGAAUACCAUCUAUCCCUCUUGGUUUCUAUCCCGCAGGCUGUGCAGGAGAGCCGUGGUAAAGAUUUGCUUCUAACGCGCCCGCGACGAAUAGCUCCGAACAUCGAUUGAGCCUUUACGUGAGUGAUCCUACAUGAUCUGAGGAGGAGCGACAGACGCAGUCGACGACGCAACUACUGGAGCACCUUUUGGGAUAAGAAGCUGACAGCAAUUGGAACCUUUUUGCAGAUAAAUUGCAAAAAGAGAAACCCUGAUAUCAGAAUGCUGUUAAAUCUAGCGGCAUUGCCGAAAAAUGCGCCAAUAUAUGAGAAUAGGGAUUGCGGGAACAGAGGUUUGGGACUUGUCGCGAAGA
rnacentral:sRNA from 2 species